GCCUUCGUAGUGUAGUGGUCAGCACACUCGACGCGCAUUCGAGAGUCCCGGAGUACGAGUCCCGGCGAGGGCA